UAAGGAAUAUCGCUCAAUGGGAGAAAUCCUGAAGCAGCAACGCCGCGUGGAGGAUGAAGGGUCUAUGACUUGUAAACUCCUGUAAAGAAGGAAAAAAUUCCCAUUUGAUGGGAGAUGAUGGUACUUCUGGAGUAAGCCCCGGCUAACUACGUGCCAGCAGCCGCGGUAAUACGUAGGGGGCAAGCGUUGUCCGGAUUUACUGGGUGUAAAGGGUGCUCAGGCGGAUUUGUAAGUCAGAGGUGAAAUCUUACAGCUUAACUGUGAAACUGCCUUUGAUACUGCAAGCCUAGAGUAUGGAAGAGAGUGAUGGAAUAUCUGGUGUAGCAGUGAAAUGCGUAGAUAUCAGAUAGAACACCAAUGGCGAAGGCAGUCACUUGGUCCAUUACUGACGCUAAAGCACGAAAGCGUGGGUAGCAAACA
rnacentral:rRNA from 1 species